rnacentral:lncRNA from 1 species
UCCCUGGCCGGGAAAUUUCCAUAUGCUGCAAGCACGCCCCCCGCCAAAAGACCCAAAGUAAACCCACACAUCUUCGCACUAAACCAGCCCAUCUAACUAAACCAGCCCAUCUAACUAAACCAGCACACACACCCCCCCACUACCUCCAGCACGCAGAGCCCGUGGCCACCCGCACUUGCAGCCGAUACCGUACAGUCGGCUCGAGGACAUUGCUGCGGAAGUCUGGCCACGGUGCCCCUCCCAACACCCAAGCGAGAACACAGCCGACUGAGGGCACUGCUGGGGCUCCCCCUCCUGACCGUGCGGCGUCACCUACAUGGCAGGACCUGCCAACAUAGCUGUUUCAGGCUGGCUGCUGGCUGCCUCGGGGCACACAGUCCAGAGGCAGGCAGGGCACAGCUGCAGGACCUCCAGCCUGCAAAGGCCUCUACCUGCGUCCAGGACGCCCGAGUUUGAGACACAACUCUGAAACUGAGUGUCCCUCAACAGGCUCAUUUUACCUUCUUCAGGGUUAAAUCUGAUCCUGAAAAGGAGAAGGUGGGUUUGUUGACGGUGAAGGUCCAUACUCUGGAUAUUCCACAACGGCUGCCAACAGGAGAGGCUAGUAAUUAACUGUAGUGGUUAACGAGAGUGACCCAUAUCCUCACAGCUCAAAACGAAACAAACAGGAGUUCCCGUCGUGGCUCAGGGGCUUGUGAACCCGACUAGCAUCCGUGAGGACCUGGGUUCGACCCCUGGCUUUGCUCAGUGGGUUGAGGAUCCGGCGUUGCCGUGAGCUGUGGUGUAGGUCACAGACAUGGCUUGGAUCCCACAUUGCUGUGCCUGUGGUGUAGGCCAGCAGCUUCAGCUCUGAUUAGAGCCCUAGCCUAGAACCUCCAUAUGCCGCAGGUGCAGCCCUAAAAAAAAAAAAAAAAAAAAAAAAUUUCACUAAUACUUGGUUUGUUAAUAUUAAUAUUAGAUUUGAUCAAAUCAAAGUGCUAAUUUUCACAACAGUUUUCUGCCCAUAGGAAAAAAAGGGCUAUUUCAGGAGUUCCCAUUGUGGCUCAGCAGUAAUGAACCCGACUUGAAGCCAGGAGGAUGCAUGUUUGAUCCCUGGCCUUGCUCAGUGGGUUAAGGAUUGGGUGUUGCCAUGAGUCGUGGUGUAGGUCACAGAGCAUAUGGAGGUUGCCAGACUAGGGGUCGAAUUGGAGCUGUAGCGGCCGGCCUACACCACAUCAACGCGGGUUCUGAGCCUUGUCUGCGACCUACACCACAGUUCACCACCACACAAGAUCCUUAACCCACUAAGCGAAGCCAGGGAUCGAACCCACAACCUUAUGGAUGCUAGUCAGGUUCUCUAACCAUUGAGCCAUGACGGGAACUCCCCAGACACAAUUCCCCUCUCUCUGGAUAGUGUUCUUCUCUCUUUUUUCUUGAAAUGCAUUUGUUACAGAGACGGGGCAGGUUGUCCUGUGGACUACCCCCCUUUCUGGCUCCUACCGGCUGCAUCACAUCUUAAAGGAUGCUUCUCAGCCCCUGUAUUUCCUGUAGACCUGUGGUUGGAUCUCGAGGCUUUGAGGCAAAUGUGAUGUUUUUUACAAGAACGCCUCCACCAGGGCGGUGCUGCGGGGGGAAGCACCUGCCACUGAUGGCUACUGGCCCCUGCCUCUCAUAUUUGGAUAUGAUACUUUUUUUUUUUUUUUUUUUGGCCACACCUAUAGCAUGUGGAAGUUCCCAGGGCCAGGGAUCAAAUCCAAGCUGCAGCCCCGUGACCUACCAUAGCUGUGGCAACACUAGAUCCUUUAACCCGCUGCCCUGGGGCCAGGGAUCAAACCCAAUCCUCCACAUCAAAUAAACUGCUGCAGAGACAUCAGACCUUAGCCCACUGUGCUACAGCGGGAACUCCUCGGAUACACUAUUCUUCAACAGUCUGAUUCUGCCCUUCCUUCUUCAUAUAUUAAUGGAAACAGUUACAUAAGGCUACAUUCUCCUGCUUGACUACUUGGUCACCCCGAGGUACACACCAUUCAGAAAAGUCUAGCUAAAUGCACCAUCCUUAACCUUCGGUCAUAGCUUUCGAAGUAACACGAGUUCCUCAGAGUGGCCCCAGGUAAACAACCCAUUAGCCACCAUUUCAUGGACGCUCCAAUUGUUCCAACCCUGGCCGAGGGCUCUUCAGACCUAGACGCGGCCACACCCCAAGGGGCACUGCAGCUUCCGGCGGUUCAGGCCCACCACCACUCCCCCAGCGUGCCCACUGCCUCAGCCUUCCUGGGCCUUUGCACCAGAGAGCGAGGAAACCAGCUUUUUGUGUUUGAGAGAAAACCCUCAUGCGUUCCGAGGGAUAUUUCCAAUUCAAAUUUAGGAAUACAAGGUUACCGAUGACUGUCUCUGGUGUCAUCUGCACCCACUCCUCCCAGGGUCAAAGCCGGCGUGUGAUGUUACGGUAACUUCAUUUCCACUGUAUCCUAAAACACACGUAACGGCUGCGAAGUAACAAUGCCAGUACUAUUACUAAUAAAAUGACUAUUGAA